rnacentral:lncRNA from 1 species
UCAAGCAUUCAUACUUAACAAAAAAAAAAUUAAUGAUCACAUUUUUCAUCAAGUCAAGACUUUUUAGUAUUAGUAAAAAUAUCCAAUUGUUUAAUAAACUAUUAUUUCUUAGAAAAUAACAAAUGUAUUUGAAGACAAAAAACAUUUAGUUACUUAUCACAAAUUUCUAUCUAAUCAUAAUCAUUAUAUCUUAUAAGGAU